AAUGAACGUUGGCGGCGUGGAUUAGGCAUGCAAGUCGUGCGAGAACCGUAGCAAUACGGGGACAGCGGCGAAAGGGAGGGGAAUACGUGGAUACCUACCCUCAGGUUCAGGAUAGCUGUGGGAAACUACAAGUAAUACUGAAUAAUAUCUCCGGAUCAAAGGUGUGAUUCCACCUGAGGAGGGGUCCGCGUCCUAUUAGCUUGUUGGCGAGGUAACGGCUCACCAAGGCAAAGAUGGGUAUGGGAUGUGAGAGCAUGAUCCCACUCACUGGGACUGAGACACUGCCCAGACACCUACGGGUGGCUGCAGUCGAGAAUCUUCGGCAAUGGGGGCAACCCUGACCGAGCGACGCCGCGUGCGAGAUGAAGGCCUUCGGGUUGUAAAUCGCUGUCAGAGGGGAGGAAAUAUCGGGGGGUUCUCCCUCCGGUUUGACCUAGCCUCAGAGGAUGGACGGGCUAAGUUCGUGCCAGCCGCCGCAGUAA
rnacentral:rRNA from 1 species